AGAGUUUGAUCCUGGCUCAGAAUCAACGCUGGCGGCGCGCCUAACACAUGCAAGUCGAACGAGAAAGUGGAGCAAUCCAUGAGUACAGUGGCGUACGGGUGAGUAACACGUGGGUGAUCUACCUCUUAGUGAGGAAUAACCCUGGGAAACCGGGGCUAAUACCGCAUAAGCCUUAGCAGGGAAAGUCGAAAGACGCUGAGAGAGGAGCCCGCGGCCGAUUAGCUAGUUGGUGAGGUAAAAGCCCACCAAGGCAGAGGUCGGUAGCCGGCCUGAGAGGGCACACGGCCACACUGGCACUGAAACACGGGCCAGACUCCUACGGGAGGCAGCAGUGGGGAAUCUUGCACAAUGGGGGAAACCCUGAUGCAGCGACGCCGCGUGAGCGAUGAAGCCCUUCGGGGUGUAAAGCUCUUUCGUCAGGGAAGAUAGUGACGGUACCUGGAGAAGCAGCUGCGGCUAACUACGUGCCAGCAGCCGCGGUAAUACGUAGGCAGCAAGCGUUGUUCGGAGUUACUGGGCGUAAAGGGUGUGUAGGCGGUUCUUUAAGUUUGGUGUGAAAUCUCCCGGCUCAACCGGGAGGGUGCGCCGAAUACUGAGGGACUAGAGUGUGGGAGAGGAAAGUGGAAUUCCUGGUGUAGCGGUGAAAUGCGUAGAUAUCAGGAGGAACACCGGUGGUGUAGACGGCUUUCUGGACCAUAACUGACGCUGAGACACGAAAGCGUGGGUAGCAAACAGGAUUAGAUACCCUAGUAGUCC
rnacentral:rRNA from 1 species